rnacentral:rRNA from 1 species
GUCGACUCCUACGGGAGGCAGCAGUGGGGGAUAUUGCACAAUGGGGGAAACCCUGAUGCAGCGACGCCGCGUGAGUGAAGAAGUAUUUCGGUAUGUAAAGCUCUAUCAGCAGGGAAGAAAAAAGACGGUACCUGACUAAGAAGCCCCGGCUAACUACGUGCCAGCAGCCGCGGUAAUACGUAGGGGGCGAGCGUUAUCCGGAUUCACUGGGUGUAAAGGGAGCGUAGACGGCCAUGCAAGCCAGGGGUGAAAGCCCGGGGCCCAACCCCGGGACUGCCCUUGGAACUGCAUGGCUGGAGUGCGGGAGGGGCAGGCGGAAUUCCUGGUGUAGCGGUGAAAUGCGUAGAUAUCAGGAGGAACACCGGCGGCGAAGGCGGCCUGCUGGACCGCGACUGACGUUGAGGCUCGAAAGCGUGGGGAGCGAACAGGAUUAGAUACCCGGGUAGG